rnacentral:rRNA from 1 species
UAAGGGUUGUUGUAGACUACGACGUAGAUAGGUCAGGUGUGUAAGUGUAGUGAUACAUUGAGCUAACAGAUACUAAUUGCCCGAGAGGCUUAACUAUACAACGCUCAAG